rnacentral:tRNA from 1 species
GGUAAAAUGGCUGAGUUUAGGCGGUAAAUUGUAAAUUUAUUAACAAGAGUAAUCUUUUUUAUCA